rnacentral:lncRNA from 1 species
AUUAUAAUGCCUGCGUCCCAAUGUGCAUACUAUCCAUCCUAAAUUCUAUGUGAUAUUAGUAAUUUUCAAUACUAUUUAGGGCAGAUAGGGUGGAUAGUAUGCACAUUGGGACGCAGGGAAUGAAUCAUUCUUUGGAAAUCUCUUCAGUGAAUCGAUCAAACGGCUCGGCAACCGGUUUGAAUCGUUUUCGCGAUUCAGCGUGAUUCAACUCGGACGGUUCACUCAAUCUUUUUGAAGCGGUUUGUCAGUCGGCAAACGUGAUAGGGAACUUCAAGAAGGAUAAAAACGCAUAUUGAACUUCUAUACAGUCUGCUUGAAAGCAAACCUGCAAGUUCUUGUUGUUUUUCCAGCGAUGAAGAUUCAUUAUGACCAACACGCGCACGUGCGUCCCGAGAACCCCUCUACUGCAGGAGUCUUCUGAGAAAACCAAUCCCAUCCGGAUAGGACUGUCUCUGAUUGCAGUGUUUUCA